rnacentral:rRNA from 1 species
AUUGAACGCUGGCGGCAGGCCUAACACAUGCAAGUCGAGCGAGUCGCAGACGGGAGUGUAAUGUCUGGAACACCGCCUGAGGGAGGGGUAUCACUACUGGAAACGGUCGCAAAUACCGCAUACCAUCGGAUGUGCCCAGAUGGGAUUAGCUAGUAGGUGGGGUAACGGCUCACCUAGGCGACGACCCCUAGCGGGUCUGAGAGGAUGACCAGCCACACUGGAACUGAGACACGGUCCAGACUCCUACGUGAGGCAGCAGUGGGGAAUAUUGCACAAUGGGCGCAAGCCUGAUGCAGCCAUGCCGCGUGUGUGAAGAAGGCCUUCGGGUUGUAAAGUACUUUCAGCGGGGAGGCGUUACCCGCAGAAGAAGCACCGGCUAACUCCGUGCCAGCAGCCGCGGUAAUAC